UCAACAGCCCUGAAGGCUGAAUCUGUUUAUCUGGAACAUAGAAACAGAUACAGAAUAGACUGCAGCAAUGCAGACUUCCGCCACCCUGCCUUUCCAAUGUGCCUCAAACUUUCCCUGGAGGCACUACAGCUAAGAGGUCUAUGUUCAGUCUGCAAGGUCCAUUCAAACUGGCACCUCU
rnacentral:sRNA from 1 species